rnacentral:tRNA from 1 species
GGGCUGUUAGCUCAUUUGGUAGAGCGCCGCGUUUGCAUCGCGGAGGUGGCCGGUUCGAGCCCGGCACAGUCCACCA